rnacentral:rRNA from 1 species
AGAGUUCGAUCCUGGCUCAGGAUGAACGCUGGCGGCGCGCCUAACACAUGCAAGUCGAACGGCACCCCUCUCCGGAGGGAAGCGAGUGGCGAACGGCUGAGUAACACGUGGAGAACCUGCCCCCUCCCCCGGGAUAGCCGCCCGAAAGGACGGGUAAUACCGGAUACCCCGGGGUGCCGCAUGGCACCCCGGCUAAAGCCCCGACGGGAGGGGAUGGCUCCGCGGCCCAUCAGGUAGACGGCGGGGUGACGGCCCACCGUGCCGACAACGGGUAGCCGGGUUGAGAGACCGACCGGCCAGAUUGGGACUGAGACACGGCCCAGACUCCUACGGGAGGCAGCAGUGGGGAAUCUUGCGCAAUGGGGGGAACCCUGACGCAGCGACGCCGCGUGCGGGACGGAGGCCUUCGGGUCGUAAACCGCUUUCAGCAGGGAAGAGUCAAGACUGUACCUGCAGAAGAAGCCCCGGCUAACUACGUGCCAGCAGCCGCGGUAAUACGUAGGGGGCGAGCGUUGUCCGGAAUGAUUGGGCGUAAAGGGCGCGUAGGCGGCCUGCUAAGUCUGGAGUGAAAGUCCUGCUUUCAAGGUGGGAAUUGCUUUGGAUACUGGUGGGCUGGAGUGCAGGAGAGGAAAGCGGAAUUACCGGUGUAGCGGUGAAAUGCGUAGAGAUCGGUAGGAACACCAGUGGCGAAGGCGGCUUUCUGGACUGAAACUGACGCUGAGGCGCGAAAGCGUGGGGAGCAAACAGGAUUAGAUACCCUGGUAGUCCACGCUGUAAACGAUGAAUACUAGGUGUGCGGGGACUGACCCCCUGCGUGCCGCAGUUAACACAAUAAGUAUUCCACCUGGGGAGUACGAUCGCAAGGUUGAAACUCAAAGGAAUUGACGGGGGCCCGCACAAGCGGUGGAGUAUGUGGUUUAAUUCGACGCAACGCGAAGAACCUUACCAAGACUUGACAUUGAUUGAAAGACUUAGAGAUAAGUUCCUUCUCUUCGGAGAACAAGAAAACAGGUGGUGCAUGGCUGUCGUCAGCUCGUGUCGUGAGAUGUUGGGUUAAGUCCCGCAACGAGCGCAACCCCCGCCGCGUGUUGCCAUCGGGUGAUGCCGGGAACCCACGCGGGACCGCCGCCGUCAAGGCGGAGGAGGGCGGGGACGACGUCAAGUCAUCAUGCCCCUUAUGCCCUGGGCUGCACACGUGCUACAAUGGCCGGUACAGAGGGAUGCCACCCCGCGAGGGGGAGCGGAUCCCGGAAAGCCGGCCCCAGUUCGGAUUGGGGGCUGCAACCCGCCCCCAUGAAGUCGGAGUUGCUAGUAAUCGCGGAUCAGCAUGCCGCGGUGAAUGCGUUCCCGGGCCUUGUACACACCGCCCGUCACACCACCCGAGUCGUCUGCACCCGAAGUCGCCGGCCCAACCGAGAGGGGGGAGGCGCCGAAGGUGUGGAGGGUGAGGGGGGUGAAGUCGUAACAAGGUAGCCGUACCGAAGGUGCGGCUG